rnacentral:rRNA from 1 species
CUUGCUCCUUGGGUGACGAGUGGCGGACGGGUGAGUAAUGUCUGGGAAACUGCCCGAUGGAGGGGGAUAACUACUGGAAACGGUAGCUAAUACCGCAUAACGUCGCAAGACCAAAGAGGGGGACCUUCGGGCCUCUUGCCAUCGGAUGUGCCCAGAUGGGAUUAGCUAGUAGGUGGGGUAACGGCUCACCUAGGCGACGAUCCCUAGCUGGUCUGAGAGGAUGACCAGCCACACUGGAACUGAGACACGGUCCAGACUCCUACGGGAGGCAGCAGUGGGGAAUAUUGCACAAUGGGCGCAAGCCUGAUGCAGCCAUGCCGCGUGUAUGAAGAAGGCCUUCGGGUUGUAAAGUACUUUCAGCGAGGAGGAAGGUGUUGNGGUUAAUAACCGCAGCAAUUGACGUUACUCGCAGAAGAAGCACCGGCUAACUCCGUGCCAGCAGCCGCGGUAAUACGGAGGGUGCAAGCGUUAAUCGGAAUUACUGGGCGUAAAGCGCACGCAGGCGGUCUGUCAAGUCGGAUGUGAAAUCCCCGGGCUCAACCUGGGAACUGCAUCCGAAACUGGCAGGCUAGAGUCUUGUAGAGGGGGGUAGAAUUCCAGGUGUAGCGGUGAAAUGCGUAGAGAUCUGGAGGAAUACCGGUGGCGAAGGCGGCCCCCUGGACAAAGACUGACGCUC